UACAGAGGGUGCGAGCGUUGCUCGGAAUUACUGGGCGUAAAGGGUUCGUAGGUGGUGCGGCAAGUUGGGAGUGAAAUCUCUGGGCUUAACUCAGAGGCUGCUUUCAAAACUGCCGUGCACGAGUGCGAGAGAGGCCAGUGGAAUUGCAGGUGUAGCGGUGAAAUGCGUAGAUAUCUGCAGGAACACCCGUGGCGAAGGCGGCUGGCUGGAUCGCAACUGACACUGAGGAACGAAAGCUAGGGGAGCAAACAGG
rnacentral:rRNA from 1 species